ACUGCCUGCCUGGGGCGCACUAGACUCAAGCCCUGAGAGCCACCGGCGGGCUGUCCACUGGACCCGAGGAAAGGCUCUUUCUCUGCCCCUGAAGUCUAUUGCCUUUUCCACUAUGCUGAUGAUUUUUGAUGAGAGGAAUGGUGUCCAUACUCCUAGCAUACUGAUCUAUACUGUGACUUGCCGGUGAAGUAUCUAAUUCUGGCCAUAAAUACGGAAGACGGAAAGACACCAUCGAGAGCUCACGUUCCUUUCCGCUCGUCUGUUGGUUAGGGUGACAGCAAACAGAGGACUAUGUGCUGUAACACGAAAAGUGCUUUUACAAACAAGAGAAACACAAAGGUAAAUGGGAAAAUGAGCAGAGAUAGGAGGAGCCCAUUUAAAGAAAAGAACGUCUAAGAAAAAAAAAAAGAUCGUCGCUAGUACGUGACAACUGUGAGUCACUGUGAUAAACCACACGCGCUCUCACGGCGGACCAAUCAAGCAGUCCACGUUCAUAACGGAAACUAACCCAGCUGGUGAGGAUGUGGGGAGAGUUACCUUUGGCACAGCUCUGAAUUGCUCCUGCCUUUGGAAAGCACCCUGGGAAGCUACAGGAAAUAAAAAUACUUAAAAAUAA